rnacentral:rRNA from 1 species
GGGGACAACCCGCCGAAAGGCGGGCUAAACCCGCGUACAUGCCACCGGGGCAUCCCGGAGGCAGGAAAGGCUUCGGCCGGACAGGGAUGGGCAUGCGGCGCAUUAGGCAGUAGGCGGGGUAACGGCCCACCUAACCGACGAUGCGUAGGGGUUCUGAGAGGAAGGUCCCCCACACUGGUACUGAGACACGGACCAGACUCCUACGGGAGGCAGCAGUGAGGAAUAUUGGUCAAUGGUCGGGAGACUGAACCAGCCAAGCCGCGUGAGGGAUGAAGGUACAGAGUAUCGUAAACCUUUUUUGUCAGGGAACAAAGGCGGGGACGUGUCCCCGGAUGAGUGUACCUGAAGAAAAAGCAUCGGCUAACUCCGUGCCAGCAGCCGCGGUAAUACGGAGGAUGCGAGCGUUAUCCGGAUUUAUUGGGUUUAAAGGGUGCGCAGGCGGUCUGUUAAGUCAGCGGUCAAAGCCCGGGGCUCAACCCCGGCCCGCCGUUGAAACUGGCAGUCUCGAGUUGGAGAGAAGUAUGCGGAAUGCGCGGUGUAGCGGUGAAAUGCAUAGAUAUCGCGCAGAACUCCGAUUGCGAAGGCAGCAUGCCGGCUCCACACUGACGCUGAGGCACGAAAGCGUGGGUAUCGAACAGGAUUAGAUACCCUGGUAGUCCACGCAGUAAACGAUGAA